rnacentral:rRNA from 1 species
AUGCUCCGACUGGUGCGUCACUUGGUCAGAUGGACUAAGUGGGCGCGCUGGCUGCUCCGGUCCAGGGCCAUACAUCCCUGGAGGACUCUCGUCAUGGUGCAACGCAUGACCAGGGGGCUCCCACUCGGCCAGGAGGGCCAGGUUCCUGUGGCUCUUUCGCCGGCUCCUUUUGGAGCUGCUCCCGGUCAGGCGGACCAGAAAGUGGCUCUGGCUGCCCCUGCUAACCUUGGCCAGGAGGGCCCGGGGUUGGCAGUGCUGGGCCGCACCCAUACCGGUGUUCUGCAUGGCCAGGAGGGCCACGAGCUGCUGCGGCCGGUAGUACCCAGCUAUGCCAAGGCGUUGGUUGCUGCUGCUGGCCAUAGUGGAUGUCCUAUUGGCCAGGAGGGCCAGAGGAUCCAUCCGAUGGGUGGAGGCAGCCAUUCACAGGGUGCAGCUACAGCCGCUGCUAAACAUGAUGGGCUAUUAUUCAUGCCCGGUGUGCUAGAGGCUCUUUCAGGGGCUUUUGCUGCUAGGCUGGCUGCUCAAGAGACAACAAAUGGUAAUGUGGCGUUUACUUUUAAUGCUGGGAAAAAUUUGAUGCAGGCAAGCAAAAGAGGAAGGGGAGCAAAGGAAAAAAUGUGGGAGUUUCUGAGAGAGCAGAGAAUACACGUAAGGUAA